UCUCGCACUCGAAGGCGGGUGCUUAUCUUGUUCCGCUUUCCCGCACCGCUUGUUUGGUGGCGUGCUGAUAAGUAAUCAGCAGCACACGUGCGCCGCUUUUAACAACAUAUUUACCUCUGUGUACCAAAAAUACGUAGCCCUACAUGUACAAUUGCCGUAGUUAGACUGUCACUACUCACCCCCAGUUUCAUCAUUAUUAUUAUUUCUUUCGAAAAAAGACAUACACUAGACAGGAAAGGGAAGGCGCGGCGCAGGCUGGCAGCUGCCACCGGAAGGGGGCACAAACGCCCGCAGUUUGAGGGAAUACGGAAACGAUGCUUGUUGUGUGGUCUUUCGGAGCAGCCGCACGCUACUUUAAGCUGCAUACGGCAUGGCAAAAAAAAAAUUCGUCCGUGCCAGCGCUAAAGCUGGACGAGCUGCUCUGUGCAAGUUUUCUGUUUGUAUUUUGGCAACGAUGCGGUGCAGAAGUGUUCGCGACCGUGGAAAUGGCAGUGAUCGAGCCAAUCGUCGACUUCAUCGCUCACGCCUUCUUUCGCUGCCAACUCCUGCUGCCGCUUUCGAUGUCGAGGUUCUAGCAGAGCACCUAGAGAACCGAGCCCCUGAUGAACCUGUUCCACUACCAUCACCAAUCGAAGAGUUUGAAGCAGCCAGUGUGACACAGGCAGAUAAUGUUGAAGAGCUUCAAGUAGCCAAACGCGGCACUUAUGUUCGCGAUCGUUUAUCAACACGCAAAAAACCACGGAACUUUAGACAAGCAGCGGCAAGGUGCUUGACAUUGCUUGACAUCGCGUAAUUGCACCCGUGUUUACAAUCUAAUGGGAAGUUAGAGCUUCGGCUUUCUUCCAGCUGCAAGUUCCCAGUGACACUUUAGCGCAUUUUUUCUCCCGUCAUUGGAACGUGCAGCUACAUGAAAAAAGAAAAACAUACGUACCAGCUAAGAUUUCCAACGCGCGAGAAGGUGCACACAUCGCUCUCGUGGUUGGCACACUCAACAUCGUCGUUGCCGCCACCGUUUUCCGUAUCGGCUGUCGGUUCGAACAUGUACGGCGAAAACACAAGCUGUCCGAGACAGCGACAACGUUCCAUAAUGCUUACAACUCAGCCAUAGAAUAAAGAACAACUUUGACUCAGCUAUGAAGCCAGAACAGAACAGCGUGCUAGGCUCUGAAACGGCGGCGCCGACCGGCGACUGCCGCGAAUGACGUCACAGCGGCCCCGACCAAUCACAGGCAACAGCGGCGUUCGCGCGAUGACCUGAGGCGCUGGUGCGCGUUUUCUUGGAAAAACAGCCGCUUGCGUUUGUUUCCGCCCUUUUUGAACCAGAUAUUCGUGUUCAGGGGACUCAAAACUGUAGAAUGACGCAGAGAACUCAUUUUUUUCGAUAAGUGUUUCAGCUUCCCUUUAAGGGAGGGCGCAGUUUUUCUAAAUCUUGAUUGCGUAUCAGUGAGCGCAGUGAUAGUUAAAACGCAGAUGAGCAAUGCUAUUUUUGCCGGUCUGAGAACUGGCUAACCUCCCUGUCUUUCCGUCUAUUUCUCUUCCUCCUCAAAUAUUUUUAUAUGAUAAAGAAGAAACCAUGCUACAAUUUACAAUGUCUCCUGUCGUUUUAUUUAGGACCAACCUUUCGUAGCAUGACGUUAAUCAAAUAUUUUUUACAACUAUAUUGCUGAUUCUUCGUGAUUCCAGCUAGGUACAAUGAAGUAGAAUUAUCGUGCAAGGAAGUCUGUAAAAUAAACAACUAAAUCGGCUAGAACUACAGCUUCGUCUGAUAUCUUUACAAGGACAUUCAUGCUAAUUUGUACUAUGCAUUAUGAAGCUAAGUGUCCUUGCAUCAAUAGCGUGCAAAAAUCAUUCGCAGUAAAAUAAAUUUUCAAUAUCAUACAUGAUUCUGGACUAAUUCUGCUGAUAGCUGGUCGACUGGCCCCUGUAGAGUAAUAUUGAACACCUGUUGAACAGACGGAUCAACUGUGUACAGUGCAGUUGAUCAUUAUGGAAGCUUGCACAAGUUGGUUCACCUUUAGCAAUGGUAAAGCAGCACGAAAGGCGCAGACCAAUAAAAGGGCGCAAGACAAAUACAUCUGUGCCUCUAACAUCUUCCUUGCGCGCAUUUCUUUCUUGAUGAUUUAACAUUUCCGAAGUUGAAUGGAAAGUACCCUAGCGUGCAUUGCUUGCGGCCUCACUAUCAAUUCUACUGGCUUCUUCUACACUUCUAUACCUCAUUGUUCAAGCAGCUGCGAAGGCAUUUUCCUACAGGGAAAAUAGUUCACCCCGGCCUAAAUUCUGCAGCAUUGCUUAUAGAGCCUGUGUUGUAACAGUGUCCGACACUUUUACUGUUAAAAGAAAAAACAAAGAACUGUCGUACGAAAGAAAUCGUGAGAACGCAAAAUGCUUCCUUGAGUCGCAUGUAGCAACCAUUUUAUGAAAUUAUAUAUCCUAGCCAGUACAUCACCAUAAGAUAGAGAAAUAGAGGAGAGGAAAGGCAGGAAAGACAACCAGACACGCUUCCGGUUUGCUGCCCUGCACGCGUGGAAGCGUAAUAUUAAUGAAAAGAUAGAGAGGAGGUAUAGAGAGCACCGUUUCGCGCGCAUUUUAAGGUUCCCAUUGAGUCUGCGCACGGUCUCCAGGACCUCACAUCACCAUGAAGGUAUGAGUACCGUAACGCCUCCAUGUCGCAGAAGUCUAGUGCAGCGAUUUAAAAUUCCCGUUUAUAAACGCGGCUGCUUAAAAUUUGGUUUUCUAACUUCAUCUAGUGUCUGCACGUUAGAGCUUAUUGUGUGCGCAUGUGAUGCGAGGCAAGAUUUAGUCGAAGACAGCGCUGUCUGCGUGCGUAGCUUCUCCUGCGUGCUUCUUCUCUCCCUCUACUUAAUGUACAGUCAACCGCAAAAGUUUACGGGACGCAGGAUCUGCCAAGACGCUGAAUUCUUGCGAAGCAUGGUCACACAGCCUCGAAUUUAAUGUUCGAGCAUGUGAGAGCAUUCGCCAUCUACGCAGUGAUUCAUUAAAUACGAAGUGUCAUGUCUUAACAGUGCAGGAAUUCACAUUUGAAGGGAAAACCGCAUCCCGUAAUCUUUUGCUGUUGACUGUACGUCAGCACCACCGCUCAUCAACGCUGGUGUGGAAAGUCAAAACUUUGACCAGUAGUCUGAGUAGUGUCACUCAGGAAGUGCUGACAUACAGAAAUUGGCUGUGAGCCACUACCACAUGUGUUGGCAAAAUGUUAUGGCUAACUCUCCAUUUAAUGUCUCAAUGGGUGUUAGGGUGACUAGAUAGGAAAUAAAGUUUGUUCUUUACUGUA